rnacentral:rRNA from 1 species
ACGGAAGGCAGCAGUGGGGAAUAUUGGGCAAUGGGCGAAAGCCUGACCCAGCAACGCCGCGUGAAGGAAGAAGGUCUUCGGGUUGUAAACUUCUUUUAUGAGGGACGAAGGACGUGACGGUACCUCAUGAAUAAGCCACGGCUAACUACGUGCCAGCAGCCGCGGUAAUACGUAGGUGGCAAGCGUUAUCCGGAUUUACUGGGUGUAAAGGGCGCGUAGGCGGGGAGACAAGUCAGGUGUGAAAUCUAUGGGCUUAACCCAUAAACUGCAUUUGAAACUGUAUCUCUUGAGUGCUGGAGAGGUAGAUGGAAUUCCUUGCGUAGCGGUGAAAUGCGUAGAUAUAAGGAAGAACACCAGUGGCGAAGGCGGCCUACUGGGCUUUAACUGACGCUGAGGCUCGAAAGUGUGGGGAGCAAACAGGAUUAGAUACCCUGGUA